UGAUGAACCCGCUCCCUGCGCACGAAUUCCACAACGAACAGGAAUCUCUGAAACCACAAACAAAACAAACCUUUGUCCAUCAAGUUGUUUCUGUCAGGGAGUUCCCCCCACACGGUCACAAGGUCUACCACAGAAGGGUCUUACUAUUUGGCCCCGACUGGCCCUGGAACUCACUCUGUAAACCAGGCUGGCUUCAAAGUCGUUGAGAUCCACCAGAUUUAAGGCAUAUGUGCCACCCCACUCGGUCAAGAAACAAGAUGCACAACACUCAGCUCCUUCUCAUGCCUGCCUGGAUGCUGCCAUGCUUCCUGCCUUCAUGGACUGACCCUCUGAACUUGUAAGUCAGCCCCAAUUAAAUAUUGUCCUUUAUAGGAGUUGCUGUGGUCAUGAUGUCUCUUUACAGGGGAGGAAACCUAACUAUGACAAUCUCCUACCAUGCCAGUCUGCAUUUGAACGUGGUGUACAUGCCACGUGUUAUCUGAUACUUGUGAUUAGCAACUCAAGACAACUGAAGAGCUCAAAUCUCUGUUACCCCAGACAAGUGUGGGUGAAUUAAAUAAGGUUAACAGUGGAACUUUAUUAUAAGCACGUCUCUCAUUUCAUUUUAUUAUCUAUCUAUCUAUCCAUGUAUCUAUUUAUUUUCUUACUUACUAAGCAUUUAUGGGCAUGUUU
rnacentral:lncRNA from 1 species